rnacentral:rRNA from 1 species
UACAGGGGGGGGCAAGCGUUGUUCGGAAUUACUGGGCGUAAAGGGCCAGUAGGCGGCCAACUAAGUCACACGUGAAAUCCCCAGGCUUAACCUGGGAACUGCGUGUGAUACUGGAUGGCUUGAAUUCGGGAGAGGGAUGCAGAAUUCCAGGUGUAGCGGUGAAAUGCGUAGAUAUCUGGGAGGAAUACCGGUGGCGAAGGCGGCAUCCUGGACCGACAUUGACGCUGAACGGCGAAAGCUAGGGGAGCGAAACAGGG